rnacentral:rRNA from 1 species
AAUACGUUCCCGGGCCUUGUACACACCGCCCGUCACACCACGAAAGUCGGCAACACCCGAAGCCGGUGGCCCAACCCUUGGGGAGGGAGCCGUCGAAGGUGGGGUCGGUGAUUGGGGUG